UGUUAAUUAAAUACUAAUAUCCGAAACUGUCUGAGCAGAUUCUUCCAUGGUAAAGAUAUCUGUACACUGAUUUGUACAAGGAAUGUUGGAAAGCCAGUCCAUCCAAUGAUAAAGAUAUUCUGUACAACUUCCCAACUUCUGUGAAUCAACUAACUGUAUCUCAACCCUAUGUACACAUCCCACCAAAUGCAUAGUCAGUGAAGACAAGGAGCUUCCUCUUGUUCCAUAAUAAUCAGUCGUCGUUUCCUACCUUCAUCAAUUCCGACCACUCACCAGGCAUUCAUUCUUUCUUUUCCCUGUACAAAAGCACCUAUGCUAAUAAUUACAAAUUCACAAUCUAUGUAGCAGUGAAACUAUGAAAGAUGGAAUGACCCUUGUCCUUCUGUUAUGGCGUACAAAAGCUUCUCUUUCAUCUUGUCCUU
rnacentral:misc_RNA from 1 species